UACGUAGGGCGCAAGCGUUGUCCGGAAUUAUUGGGCGUAAAGAGCUCGUAGGCGGCCUGUCGCGUCUGCUGUGAAAUCCCGGGGCUCAACCCCGGGCCUGCAGUGGAUACGGGCUGGCUGGAGGCAGGCAGGGGAGAACGGAAUUCCUGGUGUAGCGGUGAAAUGCGCAGAUAUCAGGAGGAACACCGGUGGCGAAGGCGGUUCUCUGGGCCUGUUCUGACGCUGAGGCAUGAAAGCGUGGGGAGCAAACAGG
rnacentral:rRNA from 1 species